AUAUAUGACAAGUCGGAGCGGAUGUAAAUAUGUGUUAGUUUGUUGGCGGAUAGUUCAGUGCUGAGCUGGGAUACAAAUUCAUUUUCUAUCUAGUGAUUAUCUUGAAAAGUCAAGAGUUGUAAACCUGACUUGCCAGUCCAUUCAAGCGGACGAGUUUGUUAUUAUUAUUUGACUAUGUCUAUUUCCCAAGUUGUUCCUUUUCCAAUUCCUACUGGAACUUCAACACAGAUGACCAAGACCCCUAGUCCAACUUCCACCAGGAGCUGCUGUGAGAAUGGUCGGCCCAUCAUGGCUGACCCUCACACUGGACAGACGAUCUGCUCCUGCCAGUACAACCCAGCCCUCCUGGGCUACUCCAGGCUGGCUGGACUUCCCGAGGGCGUCUAUGGAAGCCCUGCCUACACUGCCCAAGGAUUAGUCCCUUUUGCUUCGGAAGGAUCUGCUUUUUAUUCUCCUCUUGUAAGUAAUUCUGCAAAAAUAUUCGAAUAAUUAGAAAAAUUGUCACCAAUAAUUUAAGGGCUUGAAAUAGAUAUGUUUUUAUUUCAAUUUCACUUUGAGAUUUUGAACAAAAAUGUCCAUCUAGUUUGAAUAAGAAUUGAAUAUCUUAAAUGUUGAUUUCAACGAAAUUUCAGAGAUAUGUAGGUAUCUGAACCAGAGUUUAAAAUCAAAGAACAGUAGGAAUGAAAAAAAAUACUGUUCUUAAAAGCAUUAUAUGUAAUAGGAAAAAGAGAUAAUUAUAAUGCUGAUUUGGCAAUAAUUUGAGUGUACAAAUUCUAAUAACCUACUCAAUAAAAUCCCUUUUAUCUCUAAGGCAUGUAGUCAAAAAAAUAAAAAAUAUGCAAAUAUAUAUUGAUGUUAAAUUUUUACAAUAUUUUUCUUCCUUUGUAGACCAGUGGUCCCUAUGAUAUUAAGGAAGCUACGGAGGCUUGGAGAAGCCUCGCUGCAGCUCAACCCGGGGCUUGUUUCCCGUACGACCCUACCAUGUCAGUGUACCCUUAUGGCCCUGGAUAUGGUGGAAUUGACCUAAACGCAAGACGCAAAAAUGCCACACGUGAAACCACGAAUACAUUAAAAGCCUGGUUGUAUGAACACCGGAAAAAUCCCUACCCCACAAAGGGCGAGAAAAUCAUGCUGGCUAUCAUCACCAAAAUGACUCUGACACAGGUCUCCACCUGGUUCGCUAACGCCAGAAGAAGACUGAAGAAGGAAAAUAAGAUGACGUGGUCCCCGCGAAAUAGAUCUGAGGACGAUGCAGACGAUGAUCUGGACAAUGAUGAGGAGGACGAUUUGUUGCGGAAAAACGACUGUAUCGUCGAUAAAAAAGAAUCCAGCAACAAAAUUGAAGAGUCGUCAAAAGACUGUGAAGAUCGAGAACUAAAUGAGAAAAUUAUCAGCGUGGACGAAGAUGAAGAUUCUAAUCUGAGUUUUGAAGAGAGAGACACGCGACAAAGAGUGGAUUCCCUGAGCUCAGAAAGCGAAAGUUUAUCGAAUAAAAUUCUUCGAAGGGAAGCAGAUGCGCCUUCUCCAAAUCUCAGCAUUGGCGAAGAUUCAAGAUGUAGCGACUUGGCCUCUCCUCGGUGCUCCAGCGCUGUCACGUGUUCACCCCAACCUAUUAAAACUGACACAAAUUCUACCCAAAAUCAGGACAAUCGAUCCAAAAUUUGGUCUGUGACCCAGUUUCUGAAUAAUUCGUCCUCAUCCGAUGACGAAAAGGACGAAGAAGUGAAAAAACCUAUUGUGACGUCAUCGAUGUCAAGUCGAGGCUCCCUUGUCCCUCAUAGUGCUUCGGACUUGUAUUACCUUACCUCCACAGCUAGUCACAUGAUGAGGGCCGGCCGGUACGGCGGGUUUGGCCCAUUCCCCAGUGCUUUGUCGUUGGCACACCCGCCAUUGUCGUACCCUUACAUCCUGUCCUCUCACGCCGCGGCAAAAAGUUCUCUGGGCGGAUCUCAUUUCCCGUUUUCUGGACCGGAAAACCUGUCCAAAUCUGCAGAAAAACUCGUAAGGUCAUCUAGUUCUCUAUUUUCCCCUGCAAGAGACAUUGAUGUUGUUCGUCCCUAGAUAAAUUAUUGUUCUUCACAUCCUAUUACUUCGUCGUUGAUUUAUUAUAAUUAUUAAAGUAAAUGUAUGUUUU
rnacentral:misc_RNA from 1 species